rnacentral:lncRNA from 1 species
GAAAACCUAUGAUAGCCGACAUAUUUUUAGUCCCAAUUUAAACGAAUGUAAAACAAAUUAGUCUGCUUUAUUGCCUACUUAUAAUAAUUUCAGCACUCAUGAUGCAUUCUUUUAACGAGCAAGAAGUAGAAUAAGAACCAAAGAAACUGAAAGAAACUCGGAUAUACGACUCUUCUUCACUUUCAAUCGAAUAGAACAAAAUUACAAGGUUGAAAGUUACCUAGAAUGCAGAAUUUUAAACGCAGCAACAAGGUAGAGAAAAACGAUAACUAAACCCAGCCAAUAUCAACUAGCAACAGCAGCAAAAAACCAACAAAGGACACCCGAAACAAAAAUCAAACCCCAGGAACUUCAGGCACUUUCAAAGAAACUAAAGCCCAGAAACUAAAUUUACUACUUUUAUUUUUGGAAGAUUUUUUCUUGAUUUCAGCUUACUGUAAUGUAUUCAGCUUUUUUUGUUUGUUAAGGAGGGACGUUUUUAUUUUUGAAAGAUUUUCUUGGUUUCAGCUUACUGUAAUGUAUUCAGCUCUUUUUUUGUUAAGGAGGGACCCCUCUCUUUAUAAUAGUAGAAGGUCCUUGAGGUUAGGUUUUCCUUUAACCAAAAAUCUGCCCAAAAAAUGAGAAAAAGACUGUCUUUUUUCACUAAUUUCAGACACAAACAAAAGUAGAUAUACUCCCAACAACUCCAAAACAGUAAAAGAAACCAAACAUGUACUCUACUUCAUUGUUUACCUUUUAUCCUUCACAAACUAAUAUCAAACUAACCAAACUGAUUUAAACUAGUGUAAAACCAGAAAAUUCAGCGUUUUAGUAAUUAGAAAGUAACCCAUGAUGCUGCAAAAAAAAUAAUCAGAGAUGAAAUCCAUGAUUAAGGAGCGUAUUAACAGUAAAGUAAUUAAUGACAACAAAUCUAAAUAAAUGACGAUGCAAUCAAAUAAAAUAAACAAACGAGACAAAACUUAACAAUAAACAAAAAUCUAAAAUCAAUUAGGAAGUAAAAAAUAGAAAAUCAGUAAAAAGAGAAGAAAUUAAUAUUGUGCGCUAUGCGCGGAUCCAAACUUCGUUACACGAUUGCGGACGUGUAAUUGAGACGACAACCUAUGGCCACCAAGCUCGAAACUUGGAAAAAGCCUCAAUCAGUUAUUGCCGAGAUGGAGUCUCUGCCAAGCCUCAAAUUGAUGGCUUGGGUGUCGUUUGGCAGUGGGUGGAUAAAUGGUGAAGGGGUUGCUUUGAUGGUAAGCAUCCCCACUUCCAACUGAGAGGUUGUGAGUUCGAGUCUCCCUAAGAGCAAGGUGGGAAGUUCUUGGAGAUGUCGGGCGUCUAUUGGGAAACAGCCCCUCUACCCAAGGUAGGGUAAGGUCUGCGUACAUACUAUCAUUCCCAGAUCCCACUAAGUGGAAUUAUACUGGGUUGUUGUUGUUGUUGUUAUAGUGAUGGCGUUGGGCGGUCGUAGAUGACUGGUCGGAAAAUAAUUGUUGUGUUUGGGGAUUGAAAUUAACAUAAAUAGGUAGGUAUUGAGGAGUUCUAUCCAUUAAUGUAUGUAUAACAGUGUGGUGGUGGCCGAAACUUCACGAAUUUGGGGGAAAAUGUGGUGGUUAGGGUUUCGUAGAUCUAAAAUUUAUGGAGUUUGAGGGGGGUUUUGAAGGGUUUGGUUUGAAGAUAUGGAAAGAGGACAUAUUGUAGAUUACAUGGUGAAAUUUUGGUGAUUGUUUGGACGCCGGUAGGCAGCGGCUGGCGGUGAUGCCGCCAUGGAGAGGGGUGGCGAUGGUGGCAGAGGAGUGGGAGAGAAGAAAUGAGCCUCUAGGGUUUGGGAGAGUGGAAUGAGCUAAAAUUCUGAUUAUAGGGGUUUUAUACUCCAUGAAGGAUUAAAUGAGGACCCUUGGAUCA